AAUAACUUCAGCUAGGGGGUUGUGUGUCAUUGAAAAAAAUCCCUAGCUCAAUUGGGAAUCUUUCUUCUCUCAAAGUACUGGACUAGAGGCUUGCAAGUCAUUGAGACAAAUCCCUAACUCAAUUGGGAAUCUUUCUUCUCUCAAAUACCUUAACCUUUACAGGUGUUGUUCACUAAAAGAAAUUCCUACCUCAAUUGGGGAUUUACCAAAUUUGCAAAGCAUUGGGGAUUUUUGACCUUGAAUAGUUACCCAUUGCUAUUGGAUGGUUGAACAAAAUGCCAAAGGCUAUUUCUUGAAUCUUGUGAUAGUCUAAAAGGGGAAAUUCCAAGAGAAAACGAUGACUUGUUUUCACUCAUGAUUCUCAAUAUCACUGGCACAUUGAUAUUUGACCUGCUAGAAAGCAUCUAGAAUCUUUCUUCUCUCUAAUGCCUUGACUAAGAGGGCUGUAAGGAGCUCGAUCGUUGCUAGAGCUUUCUUCCUAGGUUGCCAGAGCUUUUUAGUCCUAUUCCACUUGGAAGAACUUCAUUUUUAUGGAUACGAUCAACUCGAGUAUGUGCCAUUGCUUACCUCAAGACAUUUGAAACUUUGUGUUGACUCCUGUCCUAAGUUGAUAUUGCCUGAGCUUGAUGGAUUCUUGGAAGAGUUGUCAAUAAAACACUACAAUUCCCUUGAAAGAAUGGACCUCUCACAAUCGAAUCUUUUGAAAGGAUUGGACAUUGAGGAUUGCGAUAAUCUAGUUGAAAUUUAGGGCCAAGGUAAAUUGGAGUUCUUGGAGACAAUACAUACAUAUAGCUGCAAGUCCAUUAGAAGGCCGAUCCAUCCGAAAUUAUGAGGGCUUGAAGUGAUUAAAUACUUGCUAUUGCGACAAUCUAGUCGAAAUACAGGUCCUGAUAAGGUGGAGUUGUUACAGAUGUUCAAUGUCUUUAAUCAUGGUUCCAUCGAAAGAUUACUUGACCUACGAUGCUUUUGGAACUUGAAAGAGUUGAAUAUCAAUGGUUGUCAUUAUCUAUGUGGUGUGAAGACUCAAUUCCCAGUCUUACAUAAUUGCAAGAGUGGGGAAGUCGGUCCUAGAAGCUAACAUGAUGCUUCAGCCAAGAUCAAAAUUAAAUCUGACUGUGGUUCUUCAUAUGUUAGAAGGCGUUGUUCAUCUGCUAAUCUUCAAUCGGCAACUGUUGCAGAUAGAUUGGCAGCUUGUGAGGCAACAAAUGAAAAUUAAUGACAUAGGUCCGGUUGGUCUAUGUAAUGAUCAAGGCUUACUUUUGGACUUCAAUUCAAAGAGCUGUAUAGAUGACCUUUUGCAUAAUUGGGACAAUUUUUUGCUUGCUCUGUAAAACAAGCUAGGUGAGGAGCUUAAGAUUUUGCUCAUUAUUUUGCAUCCCGUUUGAUCCUGAUGUUGUCGUGGAAUCAUUUUAUCAAAUGAUUGAUUUGGGUCUAGCUAACUUGGCUAAGGCAAUUCAUAGUCCAUACCAGAGAACGAUCAAAUGAAGAAGAGGGAUUUUGCUGAGGUGUCAUCAGCAAAAGCUGAAGGCUAGCUUUUGUGCGACCUCGAACAGGCUCACGGGCCAAUUGGAGUGUCCAAAGGAUGUUUUUUAUGCUUGUGAAGAUCAAAGCACUUGAUAUGGUUUCAUCAGCAAUAAACUGAAUGAUUGUGAAUAUGCAGAGUUCUUUGAUGCAGUCGUAUAAUUCCCAAACUCAGUCAGGCUCUGCAGAUAGAGGUAUGCACUGCCAGUCCUACCAUAACUGUGAAAGAGUGACUUGUGUACUUAUAUUUAAUUGAAUGUGCUGUGUGCUUGUUAGGUUCUACCUCUCUAUUAAUCGAAUAUGUACGUGCUGAUUUUUCUGCAUGUUACCCUGAUGUGGAGUUGUUUGAUGUGGUCUCGUUCUAAUGAUAUCACUUUCAAACCCAAUGAGGCUCUGCAGAUGGAGGGUUUACAUUUGAUGAUGCGGUUCAAACUAUAAGAGACACACCUUCGGGUCGUACAAAAUUGCCUCAACUGAGUUGACAACAAAAUUGCAGCUACCACUGCUACCGGGACCUUCUCAUGUGGACUCCACUGCCACCUCAUCUGUGGUUUUAACUGGGGUUUAUACCGAUAAAUUGUUGUUACUCCCUGCAAUAACCGCCGACGAUCGUGGUGUACAUGGUCACAUCUAGCUCUCAGCCUGUGUCUUCCAAAUUCUUCAGCAAUCGAACGGCUUUUCCAGUAUCGCCAGUUCUGCACAAUCCCUCAUCAUGGCUUGGCAUGUGGUUAUAUCUACCUCGAUUGUCUGGCCAACACUUCAUCCGCCAAGCUCAUGGCUUUGGCGAUUCUACCCUCUCCAACGAGCCCAUUGAUCAAAGUGUUAAAAGCUCGCAGUUGUGGGUUCAAGUCCAAGUUUGACCAUUUUACACGAAACUGAGGACCCGAGAUCGGAUCUUUUCAAUUGGCAGAGGUAAUUCAUCAAAACGUUGCGAGUAGAACUGUUGGGAGUCGUUCCUUUCAAACCCGUCCGCUCGAUCAUGUCAAUGGUGACAGUGUAAUGCUUCAUCUUGGCCCCAACCCCCAAGAGUUGGGCGAAACAGGGAGGUAAAGUCAAGAGGGUUCACUCGAAUCGUCCUCUCCAAGAAGAAUAAAGCAUUGUCAGCUUCCACCAAUCCGCCAUUUCUGCAUUUGUUCACCACAAAGGUCACAAGUUCAGAUUGAUCCAUUGAAUCACUCACUCCAGCAGUGGAUGGGCAACCGUGGGAGGGACGUGAAAGAAAAUGGUUCAAUGCAAAGAUGGGAUGAGAAGUGAGAGGUUUAGCGAGAUCGCCAGAUUCUUGAACAAGACGGUGAAGAGCAGAAGUGAAAAUGGAUUGAUUCAUUAUCAUUAGUUUUGCCAAAUUUUCUCUCGAGUUCAAGAAUCCACAAAUUGACGUGAUGGCGUAUGGAGAGGAUAAUUACUAGGCAAUUCGAUCACUGAAACUUUAGAUGUCUGAUAACAACAUAAUUUUCGGUUCAAUCAUUGAAAACUACUUGAUUGGCAAACUGAACAUUUCUAGAAACGCUCUGAUCGAUUCAUUCCCGUACUCAGCAAUUGAAGAGAGGUCAGGAUGCAUAAUCAUGCUCUUAUACUGUUGUGAAAACAACUAUGAAAUCCACAUGUGAGACCAAAUCCGAAUGGAUUGAAAUCUCACACGACGAGAACGGUGAACACUAGAGGAGUCGAAGUAUUGCCUGUCAACAUGAAUGUUUCUAGUUUUACUACUAUCGGCCCAAAAAAUGAGAAAAUAAUACUAACGUUUUCUACUAUUGUCAUUA